rnacentral:rRNA from 1 species
UACGUAGGGGGCAAGCGUUGUCCGGAUUUAUUGGGCGUAAAGAGCGUGUAGGCGGCUAGGUAGGUCCGUUGUGAAAACUCGAGGCUCAACCUCGAGACGUCGAUGGAAACCAUCUAGCUAGAGUCCGGAAGAGGAGAGUGGAAUUCCUGGUGUAGCGGUGAAAUGCGCAGAUAUCAGGAAGAACACCCGUGGCGAAGGCGGUUCUCUGGGCCUUACCUGACACUGAGGAGCGAAAGCGUGGGGAGCGAACAGG